rnacentral:rRNA from 1 species
AGCUCGAUGAGUAGGGCGGGACACGUGGUAUCCUGUCUGAAUAUGGGGGGACCAUCCUCCAAGGCUAAAUACUCCUGACUGACCGAUAGUGAACCAGUACCGUGAGGGAAAGGCGAAAAGAACCCCGGCGAGGGGAGUGAAAAAGAACCUGAAACCGUGUACGUACAAGCAGUGGGAGCACCCUUCGGGGUGUGACUGCGUACCUUUUGUAUAAUGGGUCAGCGACUUAUAUUCUGUAGCAAGGUUAACCGAAUAGGGGAGCCGGAGGGAAACCGAGUCUUAAUUGGGCGUUAAGUUGCAGGGUAUAGACCCGAAACCCGGUGAUCUAGCCAUGGGCAGGUUGAAGGUUGGGUAACACUAACUGGAGGACCGAACCGACUAAUGUUGAAAAAUUAGCGGAUGACCUGUGGCUGGGGGUGAAAGGCCAAUCAAACCGGGAGAUAGCUGGUUCUCCCCGAAAGCUAUUUAGGUAGCGCCUCGUGAAUUCAUCUCCGGGGGUAGAGCACUGUUUCGGCUAGGGGGCCAUCCCGGCUUACCAACCCGAUGCAAACUGCGAAUACCGGAGAAUGUUAUCACGGGAGACACACGGCGGGUGCUAACGUCCGUCGUGAAGAGGGAAACAACCCAGACCGCCAGCUAAGGUCCCAAAGUCAUGGUUAAGUGGGAAACGAUGUGGGAAGGCCCAGACAGCCAGGAUGUUGGCUUAGAAGCAGCCAUCAUUUAAAGAAAGCGUAAUAGCUCACUGGUCGAGUCGGCCUGCGCGGAAGAUGUAACGGGGCUAAACCAU